ensembl:snRNA LOC120100278 U1 spliceosomal RNA
AGUCUUAAGGAAGAUAGCAUGAUCACAAAGGUGGUUUUCCAGUGAGAGUCAUGGUCAUUGUACUUCAGAUGUAUUUACACAUCUGAUUUUUCCAAAUGGGAAAAAGUCAACUGCCUAUUUUCUGAUUAUUGAAAAACUUCCCUGUUGCUCUCCC